CAGGACUAGCUGCUCAUUCAUCUCUGUUGUCAACAUUUCAAAAAAGAAGAAAGUAAAGAAAAGAAAGAAAAGACUCCUAGAGAUUACAGAGCUGAUGGAGGAAGAGCUGUGAAGACCAAAAUGACAUCAGAAGGUUUGUGCUGGAGAAAACAUAUUGAUGAAGAGUAAAAUGCAGAUGUUCAUUAAUUAGUAAAGGGUCUCUGGAGAUGUCACCUCCUUCCAAGGAUCUGCCUAUUUCCAAAGUUAGCGCACGGGGAGCCAUGAAAAAGAAC